CAGUCGCCACGGGAAUACGAAGGGUGCAAGCGUUACUCGGAAUUACUGGGCGUAAAGCGUGCGUAGGUGGUGGUUUAAGUCCGUUGUGAAAGCCCUGGGCUCAACCUGGGAAUUGCAGUGGAUACUGGGUCACUAGAGUGUGGUAGAGGAUAGUGGAAUUUCCGGUGUAGCAGUGAAAUGCGUAGAGAUCGGAAGGAACAUCUGUGGCGAAGGCGACUAUCUGGGCCAACACUGACACUGAGGCACGAAAGCGUGGGGAGCAAACAGGAUUAGAUACCCGGGUAGUCCCUGUCUCUUAUAC
rnacentral:rRNA from 1 species